rnacentral:rRNA from 1 species
GGGGAAUAUUGCGCAAUGGGGGAAACCCUGACGCAGCAACGCCGCGUGGGUGAUGAAGGUUUUCGGAUCGUAAAACCCUGUUUUCUGGGACGAUAAUGACGGUACCAGAUGAGGAAGCCACGGCUAACUACGUGCCAGCAGCCGCGGUAAUACGUAGGUGGCAAGCGUUGUCCGGAUUUACUGGGCGUAAAGGGUGCGUAGGCGGAUGCUUAAGUGAGAUGUGAAAUACCUAAGCUUAACUUAGGGGCUGCAUUUCAAACUGGGCAUCUAGAGUACAGGAGAGGGAAACGGAAUUCCUAGUGUAGCGGUGAAAUGCGUAGAGAUUAGGAAGAACACCAGUGGCGAAGGCGGUUUCCUGGACUGUAACUGACGCUGAGGCACGAAAGCGUGGGUAGCAAAC